rnacentral:rRNA from 1 species
AUACGGACGGUCCGGGCGUUAUCCGGAUUUAUUGGGUUUAAAGGGAGCGCAGGCGGAGAUGCAAGCGUGACGUCAAAUUUCGGGGCUCAACCCCGUCUCGCGUCGCGAACUGCGUCCCUUGGUUGCGGGAAGGGGAGGCGGAACUCGUGGUGUAGCGGUGAAAUGCAUAGAUAUCACGAAGAACUCCGAUCGCGAAGGCAGCCUUCCGGCCCGUCAACGACGCUCAUGCUCGAAGGUGCGGGUAUCAAACAGGAUUAGAUACCCUGGUAGUCCGCACAGUAAACGAUGGACACCCGCGGUUUGGCCUAUAUGGCUGAGCCGCCAAGCGAAAGCGUUAAGUGUCCCACCUGGGGAGUACGCCGGCAACGGUGAAACUCAAAGGAAUUGGCGGGG